GACGAACGCUGGCGGCGUGCUUAACACAUGCAAGUCGAACGGAAAGGCCCUGCUUUUGUGGGGUGCUCGAGUGGCGAACGGGUGUGUAACACGUGUGUAAAAUGUCCUUGUCUUUGGGAUAUCUUCAGGGGAAUGGGGCUAAUACCGGAUAGGAGCUACUGCUGCGUGGUGGGGGUUGGAAAGUGUCGGCGGUUGGGGCUGGUAUAGCGGCAUCUCAGCUUGUUGGUGAGGUUGUGGAUUACCAAGGCUUUGACGGGUAGCCGGCCUGGGAGUGUGACCCGCCACAGUGGGACUGAGAUACGGGCCAGACUGCUACGGGAGGCAGCAGUGGGGAAUAGUGCACAAUGGGCGGAAGCCUGAUGCAGCAACGCCGCGUGCGGGAUGACGGCCUUCGGGUUGUAAACCGCUUGCGCCUGAGACGAAGCGUGAGUGACGGUAAUGGGUAAAGAAGCACCGGCAAACUACGU
rnacentral:rRNA from 1 species